UGAACUCUCUCCGUCCCAGUGUUUGUAUGUCUCUCUCUCUCUCUCUCGCUCUUUCUCUGUUUUUUUUUUUUACAGUGAAGGCAUUCUUUCAGGAUGGCGCCAGGCAGCUCAAUGCUUGCAGACAGCUGUGGCGCGACGCAACUUAAGGAGGGUCUGUCAGUGUCAUCAGUGGGGGAGGGGCCUGCCCUGCUAGCCCUAAUUGAAUAUAGUGGGCCAGGAGAGAUGACCAAGAACUGCUGAAAGGAUUUUUCUUUCACAGACCCUGCAAGAGUCUCACCAAUAGUGCUGCGCAAAGCACUGACACAGGCAGCCUCUGCGACGCCACUGGACGUGACGUCAUCUCCAGAGUAAACAGCCAGGAAAUGAACCCUCUCAGCAAGCAGAGCAGAGCGCGCAGGCUGUUCUGGAGAGGAAAUGCGCGCGCCCUUUUCCAGUAAAGCUGUCCAAACAGCCGCGAGGCGCGGAUCCAGGGUGAACCAGAGGACACCACCUCGGGCAGCGGGCCUCGCCCGGCACUCUCUCUACGCGCUGGAGCUACUUCACUCCAGUCACCACUGGAAUACAUUAUUAUUAUCUUGAUGAAGACGGAGAAAAAAAWUUAAACGCGAAGGAAAGAGAAACGCAGACGGACUUCCAUGUGUGUGUUACAGGAUAAUUUAAAUGUAAUCAACGAACAACUAUUUAUUAUUAUUACUAUUAAUAAUGAUAAUAAUAAUAACAAUUCUUUUGAUAUAUGCUGAAACAGAGAAAAAAUUACACCGAAGACAGGCAUUUUCAAAUAAUUCAAAACGAUAUCAUGCAUGACAAAAUUUGAAACCUCGAGUCCCAUGGGGCGUGUGGCAUAUAGCCUACAAAUAUAGGCUACUGGUAUAAGAUGACUAAUGCCACAAUAUUCUCUGAUCUUUUCAAGAACAACGCUUCUUGUUGUACUCAAUUAACUAUGUGAACCA